GGGGCUUCCCACGGCACACGGCCCCAGGCCGCAGCCCCAUCGGCUGCUGGCGCUGCCGCUGCCGCUUCCCUGCCAGCCGGGGAUGUUGCCAGCAGUGGGCAGGGGCAUUGGGGGGAGGCAUACCCGGCUUCAUCCCGCCGGGUAGGAGCUGGAGGAGGGGUAACUGCCUCUCCCCGGGUGGCAGAUGACCCACAAUUGUGUACAGCCCCUCAGGUGUGAGCUGAACCACAAUUGGGGGCACCUCCUGAGGUGGGAUCAGACCCACUGUUGGGGGCACCUCCUGAGGUGGGAGAGGGCCCACAGUUGGGGGUACCCUCUGAGGUGGCAGCUGACCCACAGUUUGGGGCAUUGCCCCAGCUGGCAGCUGAAGCACACUUUCGGGCAAUGCCCCAGGUGGCACCUGAACUACAGGUGGGUGCAUCACCCCAGGUGGGAGCUGACCCACCGUUGGGGGCAGUCCCUGAGGUGGGAUCAGACCCACAGCUGGGGGUACCCCCUGGCAUGGCAGCUGACCCACAGUAUAGGGCAUUGCCCCAGGUGGCAGCUGAGCCACAGUCUGGGGGAUCACCCCAGGUUGCAGCUGCGCUCCCUGUCCCUGCACACCCGGUACCCCCGGCUGGACAGAGGCCUGAGGCACCAUGGAGGUGACAUUGGGGGCAGGGAUGGGCUGGAAGGAUACGGGCACUGCUCCGCCAAUGGUGGUCUUCAUUGCAGCAGUGGCCGGUGGGGGCACAAAGAUUCAAAUAAAAUGGCGUCGGGUGUCGGAAGCACCGUCAGCGAUGAAGGAAUUCUCUCUGUGGGGAAAUGCCCAAAUGGGCGCCGGGGUGAGAUGUGGGGCACUGGGAUCCCCUGGAGGGCCGCAGUGCCAGGAGCAGGAGGAGCCUGCUGCCUUACCUGCCGUGGCAGCUCGAGAGUGGCAGUGGGGGGUUCCGUGAGCGCUGGGGUCAGCCCCUCUGCCCUGAGCUCACAGUGCCCCUCUGUGACGCUGUCCCGUGGUGUCACAGGCACUGCUCUGUGCCUGCCAUGUCAUCAACUUGCUGUGGCUGUAAUCAUGCUGGUGACAGCAUGGGACGAGUGUGGGGAGCUAUGGCCUCUGCCCGCCUCAUACUCUUCCUCCUGAUGGCCACAACUUGCUAUAAGUUCGCUGCUGCUCCGUGGCGAGCACCAGGAGCAGGUGGGUGAGCAAAACGGAGUGGCACGGGGGGCACGAAGUCACUGCAAGGACAGAGCCUUUGGGGCUCCCCCUCCCGUUCUCUUUUCUUCCGCUCUCCAUCCCCUUUCCGUAGUCUGUCUGGAUGGACUUCAGCAAAAAGAGUGCUCGGUUCAAUAGUUGGUUGGUCUGAAACGUGUCCUGCUACGUUCUGUUCAGGUCCUGCGGGACAGAGAGGGAAAGCAGGACGAGGAAGAGAUUCGCUGCAGUUUUCUCAUGUUCUCAAGGCAAUGACGGGGGAGAAUGAAGUGCCUGGUGGGUAUAUUUCUGUCUGUGCACCGGGCUGCCAAAGCUCAGUGUGCUGCCUAUGAAGGAGCCGUUUAUGCGGACAGACAGACUUGGCACCAGCGGCCUCCACGUGUGUCAGGACGUCCUGCACGGGGGCUGCGGAGCCCCAACACAUCGCCGCCCCCCAGGCCCAAGAGUGCCCCGUCUCGGCUGCCCCCGCCGCGGCCCCCAAGGCCCAGAAGCCCCCAGCCCCGCCGGGCACCGCCACCGCCACCGCCACCGCCCCCAUCCUACAGGGGACGGUAGCAGUCUCCCUGCGGUCGGGAACCACGUCCCACUCCUGCACAACCGCUGCUUCCAUCAGCUGUGGCUGUCCAUGUUUCUGCUGUAGCAAUAAAGAACGUUAAAAAAGAACUGCGUUGGCCGUGUCCCAUUGGGGUGCGUUCUCCCAGAACACAUAAGGGACGCUGCUUCGUAACGCGCUCUGUAACGGCUCGCUCUGAGGGAGUUUUCUGCUCCACCGACGGCCGGCCGGGAAACGUGAGAGGAGCGGCAGCGAAACGCUCACAGCGCGGAGAGCCUUCGGGGGCGGUUCGCGCCCAUCCGCCUCUGCCGCGGUGACACCGCCUACGGUCACGGCUACGAACGGCGGCGGCGCCGCCUCACAGCCCCGCGGCUCACGGGGGCGGGGCGGCUGCUGUUCCCACGCGCGUUCUGCGCUGUGGAGCGGAGCGGUUGGGCUCGUCGGCAGAGAGCGGGGGGAGCAGCCUCAUCCCCGGUCCGUUCGUCAUGGCAUCGAUGCUCGGCCCCGCCGCGCUCCGUGAGGAACCCCCGGGCCCGUCCGCCGCCGGCAGUGUUGCGGCCACGGCCCGGCCCAAGACCUGCAUCACUUCACAGCUGGACAGCCUGUCUGCUCAGCGUGAUGUAGCUGACAGGUAGAAGAAACGGCAGCAGACGUGGCUUGGUGGAAAGCGUUCCCAGCUGCUGUGGAGCCCCACGGGUGCAGCCCCCUCAAACGUGGAUGCCAUGCAGGCUCUGCUGCCCCCGGCCUAGCUCCUGUGGCCACCCCUGUGGGUCACUGCAGAACAAGGAGGUCCCAGCAGUCAGUGUAGCUUCUCCCCACCGGUUGUGAUCACAUCGUGCCUGCAGGCUGUCGUGAUCAGUCAGCACAGUAGCAAAAUAGUGCUGCUGACUCAGAGAGAGAUAAUGGAGAACAAACCUUUCCAUGCUCAUGUGAUGUGAAAAUCUCUACUGCGGUUUCCUGUUGAUCGAGGUGACUGGGAAUCAACCCCACAGUGGCCUUAGCAAGGGCCAGAGCUCUGAGCCCAGCCCAGGUGGACCUCGGCUUUCACAGCAGGACGGAGCUGCCUGACAGAAUGUGCUCCCUGUGACUCUGCUGACUUAUCCAGCCCUUAAGGGCUUCCCGGAACAGCAGCCUCACACAGCCCUGGUGCAGCACAGCACAGGAGGAGCAGCCCACAGGGAUCCCCCAGCCAAUGUCAGGGGGCCAAGAGGUGACAAUGUUGCACGUAUUGUUGCACUCUGAGCUUACAAAACACAGCUGUGACUGUCCCGUGCCACCAGCAUUGCUCUGUGUAAUAAAGAGCAUGGCAGGAUUGGGUGGAAGAAGCAACCCACUGAUAUUCCUGCCCUGCCACUGGAUACAAGUGCUACACACAAUGAUUGUAAGCAGCACAGAAACAGUGACAGCGAUAGCUCCUUUUAAUCAGCUCAGUGGGACAUCUUUCAUGUGGACGCCAUAGUUGUUGGCUGUGGCCGUGUCUCCUGCUGCACCACGUGGGCCGGGUUCUGCAGGCACUCCCACUUGUGCUGAGCCCACCCAGCCUCACCUAGCGCCGGCGUUUCAGUUCUGGAGCAUCCCAGCCCUGCGGCAGCUUUGUUUGGAUGCUGCCAGUCUGCUGCUCGUGCCCUGUGGUGGUGCAGGCGGGCACUGGGCACUCGGGCCUCUGUCUGCAUGGACGUCACCAAAUAGAGCGCUCAGUUCAAUAGUUGGUUGGUCUGAAACGUGUCCUGCUACGUUCUGUUCAGGUCCUGCGAGACAGGGAAAGCGGGACGAGGAAGAGAUUUGCUGCAGUUUUCUCAUGUUCUCAAGGCAAUGACAGGGGACAACGAAGUGCCUGGUGGGUAUAUUACUGUCUGUGCACCAGAAGACUUGGGAAACUGACGUUCCGUGUAGAGAUGCAGAAAAUUCUGAUGUCUUUGGAGAAGUAAAGCCUCUUGAGGAUGUCAUCCUCGUGGCAAGAGCAGAUCUUUACAGUCCCACUCUGCUACCUUCUUUCUCAAGAGAUCAAUGGAGAGCCUGUGGACGGGGCUGUGUUUGAGGAGGACAGCAGCUGCACACUGCCCAUCUCCCGUGAAGGCACAGAGGACGUGCAAGCAGCUGGUGCUCCAGGUAAAGGCCGUGCACAGAGCUCUGUGCCUGACCGUUACAGGUUCUGUUGUUGUGCUGCUAAUAACUGUGUGUUGCAUUUGCAUCUGGUGGUGGAGAAAGAAACAUCAGUGAGUUGCUCCCCCAUCCCCAUCCCACCACACUCUUUAUUCCAACGCUGCUCUGUGUGGUGCCGGGAGGAAGGAGAGUGGGGGGCUCUCCCAGUCCCUCAGCACUUCCUGUCUCUGCAGGCGCCUCACUGAAGCUGUCAAAACCCGGUAUGCUGCCUGCAAAUGCUCAUCACAUGCAGACACACAGCCCGAAACAAAGCAGCAGACAGACAGAAUUGGCACCAGCGGCCUCUACAUGUGCCAGCGCAUCCAGGGGGGUCGGCAUGGGCAGCUCUGGUGGUGUUCUGGGGGACAGCAGGAAAGGCCCGCAGGGCAGCAACUCUGAGAACUGCCCAGAGCAUGCUGGCUGCCUCCACAACAGGUCACUGCUUUCCCACAGCCACCCGGUGCGGACAGCCUGCCGCCCGCUGCGCAGCCCCCAAACUCACCUCCUGAUUCCAGCGCUGCGCUGCUGCAGCCGAGCGGAGCCGUGGCGGGAUGGGGGCACACGUUGGUGGGCGCUGGGUGCCGCUGCUCCUGGGUGUGCGCCACGGCAUCUGCAAAGGGCCCCGUCGCCUGCUCCCAGCUGGCGGGCAGGGUGCAGGGCCCGGGGAGCACCCGCAGCUGCACUGGAGGUGCUCGGAGGACUGUGGAGGGGCCGGGGCCGGGGCGGCCGGGGGCCUGCAGCGGGCAGCUGCCUGCGGGCUGCGGGGGCUUCCCACGGCACACGGCCCCGGGCCGCAGCCCCAUCGGCUGCUGGCGCUGCCGCUGCCACUUCCCUGCCAGCCGGGGAUGUUGCCAGCAGUGGGCAGGGGCAUUGGGGGGAGGCAUACCCGGCUUCAUCCCGCCGGGUAGGAGCUGGAGGAGGGGUAACUGCCUCUCCCCGGGUGGCAGAUGACCCACAAUUGUGUACAGCCCCUCAGGUGUGAGCUGAACCACAAUUGGGGGCACCUCCUGAGGUGGGAUCAGACCCACAGUUUCGGGCAUUGCCCCAGCUGGCAGCUGAACCACAGUUAGAGGCAUACCCCCAAGUGGCAGCUGCGCUCCCUGUCCCUGCACACCCGGUACCCCCGGCUGGACAGAGGCCUGAGGCACCAUGGAGGUGACAUUGGGGGCAGGGACGGACUGGAAGGAUACGGGCACUGCUCCGCCAAUGGUGGUCUGCAUCGCAGCAGUGGCCGGUGGGGGCACAAAGAUCCAAAUAAAGUUGCGUCGGGUGUCGGAAGCACCGUCAGCGAUGAAGGGAUUCUCUCUGUGGGGAAAUUCCCAAAUGGGCGCCGGGGUGAGAUGUGGGGCACUGGGACCCCCUGGAGGGCUGCAGUGCCAGGAGCAGGAGGAGCCUGCUGCCUUACCUGCCGUGGCAGCUCGAGAGUGGCAGUGGGGGAUUCCGUGAGCGCUGGACAUCCUCCCUGGCUGCCCCUCACGUUGCCUCCCAUGCAUGGGGGGGCUGCAUGAUGCCCUGCAGCCCCAUUGCCCCCAGGUAACACCAGCACUCCCCCCCCACCUUUAUGGCCUGGGAGCUGCCCCCUGGAGAACGAGCACAGCCUCUGCCUCCCAGUGAGUGCUCAGCAGGCCUGGCUGCUCCUGGGCACCUCCACUGCUUCCUCUGCACUCUUCUUCAGGGGAUUGCAAUGGCAGGGGGUUACCGUCCCACACCCGGACAACCCGUGCUGGAAUGUGCUGUGGCUUCCUGAAUUCUGUUGUAGUAAUAAAUAAGAACUGGUAGCCGA
ensembl:lncRNA